GACGAACGCUGGCGGCGUGCCUAACACAUGCAAGUCGAACGGAAAGGCCCUGCUCUUGUGCGGUUCUCGAGUGGCGAACGCGUGAGUAACACGUGAGUAACCUGCCCUUGACUUUGGGAUAACUUCACGAAACUGGGGCUAAUACCGCAUAGGAGCUCCUGCUGCAUGGUGGUGGUUGGAAAGUUUCGGCGGUUGGGGAUGUACUCGCGGCUUAUCAGCUUGUUGGUGGGGUAGUGGCUUACCAAGGAUUUGACGGGUAGCCGGCCUGAGAGGGUGACCGGCGACAUUGGGACUGAGGGACGGCCCAGACUGCUACGGGAGGCAGCAGUGGGGAGUAUUGCACAAUGGGCGGAAGCCAGAUGUAGCAACGCCGGGUGCGGGAUGACGGGUUUUGGGUUGUAAACCGCUUUCGCAUGUGACGAAGCGUGAGUGACGGUAAUGGGUAAAGAAGCACCGGCUAACUACGUG
rnacentral:rRNA from 1 species